AUUUAGCUGACCAGUCCCGAAUCGAACGAAACGCGUGUCAAACUAGAU
rnacentral:hammerhead_ribozyme from 1 species